rnacentral:rRNA from 1 species
GACAGAGGCCUCGAGCGUUAGGCGGAAUCACUGGGCUUAAAGCGUGUGUAGGCGGGCACGUAAGUGGCUUGUGAAAUCCCACGGCUCAACCGUGGAACUGCUGGGCAUACUGCGGGUCUUGGGCCAACUAGGGGCAGCCGGAACAAGCGGUGGAGCGGUGAAAUGCGUAGAUAUGCGGAGGAACACCGAUGGCGAAGGCAAUCCCCUGGACCUGUACUGACGCUCAUGCACGAAAGCGUGGGGAGCAAACAGG